CUUAGUAUGCCUUAGGAGGUAGAAUGCUUGCCUAACAUGUGUGAGGUCCUGGGUUCAAUCCCCAGCAUUGUGU
rnacentral:tRNA from 1 species